AGCCAGCUUUGAAAUUUUAAUGCAGUGCCUUUGUGAACUAACAGCAAACAGAGAGGCUGAGAUGGGGAUGCAGACAACAGACCCUGCUCUGGUCAAAUUAGAAGGGCAAGCUCUUUGCUCCUAGAGGGAAAAUACAAUCGUUUGGUGCUAGGAGGUCUGAAUUCCUUGGAAGGCAUUGCUUGAAGUCUCCUGCUGGCCUUGGAGAAGGAAGCUGCCACGUUGUGAGAGGGCCUGAAAGGGGCCACAUGAAAGGAACUGCAGGGCAGCAUCCAGGUGAUAGCAAGAAAGUGGGACCCUCAGUCCUACAGCUACAAAGAACUAAGUUCUGCCCACACCUUGUGAGCUUGGAAGAGGAUCUGAGAUCCAGAAAGAAAUGCAGCCCACCGACUCCCUGAUGGCAGCCUUGUGAGACCCUGAGCA